UACGUAGUGGGCGAGCGUUGUCCGGAGUUACUGGGCGUAAAGGGCAUGCAGGCGGUCGGACGCGUUUCGGGUGACAGCGGGUGGCUUAACUACCCGAGUGGUCGAAAGACGGUUUGACUUGAGGACGCGAGAGGGACACGGAAUUCCGGGUGGAGUGGUGAAAUGCGUAGAGAUCCGGAGGAACACCGAAGGCGAAGGCAGUGUCCUGGCGCGUAACUGACGCUGAGGUGCGAAAGCCAGGGGAGCGAACGGG
rnacentral:rRNA from 1 species